rnacentral:rRNA from 1 species
CCUACGGGUGGCAGCAGUGAGGAAUAUUGGUCAAUGGCCGAGAGGCUGAACCAGCCAAGUCGCGUGCGGGAAGACGGCCCUACGGGUUGUAAACCUCUUUUGUCGGGGAGCAAAGCGAGUCACGUGUGACCCAUUGCGAGUACCCGAAGAAAAAGCAUCGGCUAACUCCGUGCCAGCAGCCGCGGUAAUACGGAGGAUGCGAGCGUUAUCCGGAUUUAUUGGGUUUAAAGGGUGCGCAGGCGGAGGUGCAAGUCAGCGGUCAAAUUGCGGGGCUCAACCCCGUACUGCCGUUGAAACUGCAGCCCUUGAGUGCGCGAGAAGUAGGCGGAAUGCGUGGUGUAGCGGUGAAAUGCAUAGAUAUCACGCAGAACUCCGAUUGCGAAGGCAGCAUACCGGCGCGCAACUGACGCUCAUGCACGAAAGCGUGGGUAUCGAACAGGAUUAGAUACCCUGGUAGUC